rnacentral:rRNA from 1 species
CGGUGUUUAACUGGCGUGAUGUGGGACGUCCUACCGGUGGGCUUAGCCUCGCGAGGGGCGGCCCAACUAAUAUCCCGUCGCGGUGCUCUUUACUGAGUGUCGAGUCGGGCCGGUACGUUUACUUUGAACAAAUUAGAGUGCUUAAAGCAGGCUAUCCUCGCCUGAAUACUGCGUGCAUGGAAUAAUGGAAUAGGACCUCGGUUCUAUUUUGUUGGUUUUCGGAACCCCGAGGUAAUGAUUAAUAGGGACAGAUGGGGGCAUUCGUAUUGCGACGUUAGAGGUGAAAUUCUUGGAUCGUCGCAAGACGGACAGAAGCGAAAGCAUUUGCCAAAAAUGUUUUCAUUAAUCAAGAACGAAAGUUAGAGGUUCGAAGGCGAUCAGAUACCGCCCUAGUUCUAACCAUAAACGAUGCCAGCUAGCGAUCCGCCGAAGUUCCUCCGAUGACUCGGCGGGCAGCUUCCGGGAAACCAAAGCUUUUGGGUUCCGGGGGAAGUAUGGUUGCAAAGCUGAAACUUAAAGGAAUUGACGGAAGGGCACCACCAGGAGUGGAGCCUGCGGCUUAAUUUGACUCAACACGGGAAACCUCACCAGGCCCAGACACCGGAAGGAUUGACAGAUUGAUAGCUCUUUCUUGAUUCGGUGGGGUGGUGGUGCAUGGCCGUUCUUAGUUGGUGGAGCGAUUUGUCUGGUUAAUUCCGAUAACGAACGAGACUCUAGCCUGCUAAAUAGGCGUACCUUAUGGUAUCGCGAAGGCCCCCGGCUUCGGCCGGUGGGUUUUUACUACCAACGUACAAACAAAUCUUUUUAGAGGGACAGGCGG